UGGGGAAUUUUGCACAAUGGGGGAAACCCUGAUGCAGCGACGCCGCGUGAUUUAGAAGGCCUUCGGGUUGUAAAAAUCUUUUCUAUGGGAAGAAAAUGACAGUACCAUAGGAAUAAGGACCGGCUAAUUACGUGCCAGCAGCCGCGGUAAUACGUAAGGUCCGAGCGUUGUCCGGAAUCAUUGGGCGUAAAGGGUACGUAGGCGGGUAAGCAAGUUAGAAGUGAAAUCCUAUAGCUCAACUAUAGUAAGCUUUUAAAACUGCUCAUCUUGAGGUAUGGAAGGGAAAGUGGAAUUCCUAGUGUAGCGGGGAAAUGCGCAGAUAUUAGGAGGAAUACCGGUGGCGAAGGCGACUUGCUGGCCAUAACCUGACGCUGAGGUACGAAAGCGUGGGUAGCAAACAGG
rnacentral:rRNA from 1 species